ACAUGAGUUUGAGCAAGCUCUGAAACUUGGUGAUGGACAGGGAAGCCUGGCGUGCUGCAGUCCAUGGGGUCUCAAAGAGUCGGACACAACUGAGUGACGGAACUGAACUGAACAAACAAAACCCCAUGUCCUUGGCCUUCGCUUGUGCUCCUCGUCCAAAUAAACACUAGGAGACUAAAUCUCGGCUCUCUGUCUUUCAAGAACCCUCCUGUGACAACGUGGACACGUCCGUCUUGCAGGCAGCGUUAGAGCCCCUUCCAGGGCGGUAUAUUCCGUUGACUUUGUGCUGUCUGCUAGUUUAGACUUGGAGCUCUUGGACGCAGAGGAAAGAUAUUCUGCCCUCAAAGAUGUGGAGGAUAGCUACCUACAUCUUAAGUGUAAAGAGCACAUGGUGACUUUCUUCCAAAGAGGGAAAAAAGGGUAACUUUACAGAGGAGAGACACGACAAACACCGCCUCAGCCCGGUGAUUAAGGUCCUGGUCUAUCAAGAAGACCAUAAUAAGUGGCACCCGAACAGGGACCUGGAGUACGCCCUUGGCAAGCGGAUGGAGUGACUGUGGACCUACUGAGGUUGAUCUCUGAAGAAUUGAUGCUUUUGAACUGUGGUAUUGGAGAAGACUCUUUAGAGUCCCU